rnacentral:rRNA from 1 species
GUAGGGAAUAUUGGACAAUGGGCGAAAGCCUGAUCCAGCCAUGCCGCGUGAUAGAUGAAGGCCCUCUGGGUUGUAAAUAUCUUUUAUCUGGGAAGAAACUCCUCUAUUCUUAGAGGCCUGGCGGUACCAGAGGAAUAAGCACCGGCUAACUCCGUGCCAGCAGCCGCGGUAAUACGGAGGGUGCAAGCGUUAUCCGGAUUCACUGGGUUUAAAGGGUGCGUAGGCGGGUUGAUAAGUCAGUGGUGAAAGCUCCGGGCUUAACUUGGAAACUGCCAUUGAUACUGUCAAUCUUGAAUGUCGUAGAGGUAAGCGGAAUGUUGCAUGUAGCGGUGAAAUGCUUAGAUAUGUUACAGAACACCAAUUGCGAAGGCAGCUUACUAUGCGAUAAUUGACGCUGAGGCACGAAAGCGUGGGGAGCAAACAGGAUUAGAAACCCGUGUAGUCC